rnacentral:rRNA from 1 species
UGGGGAAUAUUGGGCAAUGGAGGCAACUCUGACCCAGCAACGCCGCGUGAGUGAUGAAGGUCUUCGGAUUGUAAAACUCUUUAAGUGGGGACGAAGAAAGUGACUGUACCCACAGAAUAAGCCUCGGCUAACUACGUGCCAGCAGCCGCGGUAAUACGUAGGAGGCAAGCGUUAUCCGGAAUGACUGGGCGUAAAGGGUGCGUAGGUGGUUUGGCAAGUUAGUAGCGUAAUUCCGGGGCUCAACUUCGGAACUACUACUAAAACUGCUGGGCUUGAGUGCAGGAGGGGCAUAUGGAAUUCCUA